UACGUAGGGUGCGAGCGUUAAUCGGAAUUACUGGGCGUAAAGCGUACGCAGGCGGUUUUGUAAGCCAGAUGUGAAAUCCCCGGGCUUAACCUGGGAAUGGCAUUUGGGACUGCAAGGCUUGAGUGUGGCAGAGGAGACUGGAAUUCCUGGUGUAGCAGUGAAAUGCGUAGAUAUCAGGAGGAACACCGAUGGCGAAGGCAGGUCUCUGGGCUGACACUGACGCUCAUGCACGAAAGCGUGGGGAGCAAACAGG
rnacentral:rRNA from 1 species